AUGUCCCAUACUUGCCUAUAAAGGCAGAAAUGGGUCAAUCCAUGUGUGUAUGAUGCAGUAGAACUGAGUGAGCCCGUGACCUCAUGCACAGAAAGUGAAAGGAGAAAGCAUGGAAGGAAAUACAGUGAAGAGGACAAAUUAUUGAAGUUUCUCCAGAGGAACAAUGCCUCAAACUUAAAUGAUUUCAGUGACUGCUGGAGUUGCCACUAAAGCAAGAAGACAAUAGCUUUGUAGAUUUCCACUGAUGAAGGUCUUAAGAUGGGUUGAAAUGCAUCUGCCAGCAACUGGCAACCAUUCUGGCUAUAGCUGGGUACCAACUAGAAGCCUGACAACUUGACAGCAGCUGAAGACAAUUUUGGUGACAACUGGCGACAUCCUAGAAGUCUAGCAAUUACUGGCAACAUGUAUCUAUGGGGAACUGGAGGACUCUUGUAAUGGG
rnacentral:lncRNA from 1 species